AUUCAUAAGCCUGUGGACAUGAUCAUGGUCAAUGAGUCCAAAGAUCUGCUCCGUUCAGACGCCAGCUCUUCCCCUGCUCUCUCUUCGUCUCUCCGCUCGGCUCUUCGAAUUCUCUGAUGCCCGUUUGCUUUCGGGACGAUUACUUUUAUUUUGAAGAUGUUUACGGGAGACCAGGAAUUUAUCCCUCAGGAGGAAUGUUUUCAGGAACGAGGGCCGACUGUCUCAUUUAGCAACCUGCACUACAGUAUUCAGGAGACAAGAUGCUGCCGCAACACAGGGCUUGAAAAGCAGAUCCUGAAAGAUGUGAGUGGUAUCAUGAGACCUGGGAUGAAUGCCAUCAUGGGCGCAACAGGAAGCGGAAAAACUUCACUGUUGGAUGUCUUGGCGGGAAGAAAAGACCCUGCAGGGCUGCGUCAAGGACAGGUGUUGGUGGAUGGACAGGCUGUGACGUCUGAGCUCAGACUCUGCUCUGCUUACGUGGUUCAGGACGACGUCCUGAUGGGUACCUUAUCUGUGAGGGAGAAUCUGCUGUUCAGCGCUAACCUGCGUCUCAACCCAAAAGAAUUCUCCACCGCAGAUAAACACAGCAGAGUGAACGCCAUCCUUCAAGACCUGGGGCUCACUGACUGUGCAAACACCAAGAUUGGCACAGCGUUUCUUCGUGGUGUUUCAGGAGGUGAGAGAAAGAGGUGCAGCAUCGGGAUGGAGCUCAUCACCUCUCCUUCUCUGCUCUUUCUGGAUGAACCAACCACAGGCCUGGAUUCCAACACUGCAAACUCCAUCAUCAGUCUGCUGCACAAUCUGUCCAGGAGAGGUAAGACCGUCAUCUUCUCCAUCCACCAACCACGCUACUCCAUCUUCAGACUUUUCGAUCAUCUGACCCUGAUGCACAAAGGAGAAGUGGUGUACGCCGGCGCUGCAGACAAGGCACUGGAUUACUUCUCACAACUGGGUUACCAGAUUGAGCCCUUCAACAACCCAGCUGACUUCUUCAUGGAUGUCACCAGUGGAGCAGCAACAUCUUCAAUCAUGGCACUCGCUUCAGAUAUUUCUAAAAACCCUUUGGCGACACAAUACCAAGAGUCCUCACUUUGUCGGAGCGUCCUGAAGGAACUGGUCCGUAUAAACCAGGACGCUGUGGACGGACCCAAAGGUCAAGGUCAACCCGACUAUCCCACUCCCUUUCUCUACCAGAUGCGUGUGGUGUGUGGCCGGACUUUGAGGAACCUGCUGAGGAACCCUCACACCUCUUACGCCCAGCUGCUCAUCACCGUUAUUUUUGCCCUCCUGGUGGGGGUGGUUUACUUCCAGAUGCCCCUGACUCUGCCUGAAGCCAUACAGAACAGGAGUGGUGCCUUCUUCUUCCUCAUCAUUAACAUGGUGUUUGCCAACCUCUCAGCUCUGGAACUGUUCAUCAAUGAACGUGUCAUCUUCAUUCACGAAAACUCCAGCGGCUAUUACCGAACCUCAGUCUACUUCCUGUCUAAGAUCUUCGCUGAUCUCAUUCCCAACCGCCUGAUUCCCAUUCUUGUAUUUUCAUCCAUCACCUACUUCAUGAUGGGGCUGAGAGCUGGCGCGGAGCCUUUCCUGUGUUUUGUUCUGACCAUGGUUCAGGUCAGUCUGGCAGGAGUCAGUCUGGCCUUCUUCAUCUCAGCCAGUGUUUCCACCUUUGCCAUGGCAAACAUCUUCAUGGCUCUGCCUCUGGUCUUCAUGAUGGUUUUUGGAGGGUUCUUGGUCAGUCUCAACAACAUGCUGAGCUGGCUGUCGUGGCUGCAGUGGAUCAGCAUCUUUAAAUACGGACUGAACGCUGCGUUCAUCAAUGAAAUGAAAGGACAAGUUUUCUACAGCAACCGCACCAUCGUUCCAGGAGAGGUGUUCUUGGACCUCCAGGAUCUUGACUACUCAGCUUGGGGGUUUUGGCAGAACCAGUUGGCUCUGUUUGGAAUCAUAACUGUGUGUCUGCUGCUGGCCUACGUCCAGCUGAGACGAAUCAACCGCUGGAAAUAACUGUCUUUUUAGAAACUGGGUUUUUUUUUAUUGCACAUGAACUUUUAUAGUUGCACUUUCUAUCACUUCAAACCGACCAACACACGUGCACUAACCGACCAACACACGUGCACUAACCGACCAACACACGUGCACUAACAUGCGACACUUGGCUGGAUCACGAGCUGCUGCUAAGCUCAGUUGGUUUGUGCACAUGACCAUGAAUGGCAGUCAGUGAACCAGGGGUUAAUCCUCCAGAAAGCUGCUUACAGAGUGACUCAUUAAAGUAAACAGAAAAAGA